rnacentral:rRNA from 1 species
GACGAACGCUGGCGGCGUGCUUAACACAUGCAAGUCGAACGAUGAAGCUAGAGCUUGCUCUGGUGAAUUAGUGGCGAACGGGUGAGUAACACGUGAGUAACCUGCCCCGAACUCUGGGAUAACUGCUGGAAACGGUAGCUAAUACUGGAUACGACCUACGAAGGCAUCUUCUGUAGGUGGAAAGAAUUUCGGUUCGGGAUGGACUCGCGGCCUAUCAGCUUGUUGGUAAGGUAAUGGCUCACCAAGGCGACGACGGGUAGCCGGCCUGAGAGGGUGACCGGCCACACUGGGACUGCGACACGGCGCAGGCUCCUACGGGAGGCAGCAGUGGGGAAUAUUGCACAAUGGGCGCAAGCCUGAUGCAGCAACGCCGCGUGAGGGAUGACGGCCUUCGGGUUGUAAACCUCUUUUAGUAGGGAAGAAGCGAAAGUGACGGUACCUGCAGAAAAAGCACCGGCUAACUACGUGCCAGCCGCCGCAGUAA